rnacentral:rRNA from 1 species
UACGGGGGGAGCAAGCGUUGUUCGGAUUUACUGGGCGUAAAGGGCGCGUAGGCGGCCACCGCAAGUCGACUGUGAAAUCCCCGGGCUCAACCUGGGAACUGCAUUUGUGACUGCAUCGCUGGAGUGCGGCAGAGGGGGAUGGAAUUCCGCGUGUAGCAGUGAAAUGCGUAGAUAUCGAGAGGAACACCUGCGGCGAAGGCGGGUUGCUGGGCCGACACUGACGCUGAGGCGCGAAAGCCAGGGGAGCGAAUGGG